rnacentral:lncRNA from 1 species
CAGGCCACGCCCCCAGUGACCCUCCUCCAACCAGGCCCCUCCUCCUAACAGCGCAUUCAGCCUGGAACUCCUCAGUGGCUGAGUCCAUCCAUAAGUAUAAUGCUCCCAUAAUCCAAUCACCUCCCAAAGCCACCUCUGAAAACAUGAGACUAUCAAGGGACAUUUUAGCUCUAAACCAUAACACCUGAUCCUGAAGUUUGACCUGUGUUUGUCCAGACUCUGCCACUUGUUAGCUCUACAAUUUUAAUGAUCAGUUCUCACCCUUGGCUUCCUCAGCUUCCGGGCAGGAACAACUUGGCAGGCUGGGGAACAGGAAAGGAUGGAAUCUUAGGGUGUCAUAGAGAAUCUGUAGAAUGUCUAAGACUCCUCCUUCACAAUUGCUGGAUGAAUGGAGAAGGAGGAAACAUAGAUGGAUGGGCUUGGAGACCAUAAUGUGCAGGUGCUCCAGGAAGAUUAACCAGGAACAAGGUGUCAUGGAAAAUGCAGGGAUAGAGAGUCUAAGAGCAACAAGCAACAACAGUCCAGAUGUCACAACCCAAAGACCAAGAACUGAUGAUUUCUCUGAGUGA